rnacentral:rRNA from 1 species
CACGUAGGGCGCAAGCGUUGUCCGGAAUUAUUGGGCGUAAAGAGCUCGUAGGCGGUCUGUUACGUCUGCUGUGAAAACCCAGGGCUUAACCCUGGGCUUGCAGUGGAUACGGGCAGACUAGAGGCAGGUAGGGGAGAAUGGAAUUCCCGGUGUAGCGGUGAAAUGCGUAGAGAUCGGGAGGAACACCAGUGGCGAAGGCGGCUACCUGGACCAGCACUGACACUGAAGCACGAAAGCGUGGGGAGCAAACAGG